UAACUCCUCUCUUUUCCCAAGUGGGUGAGAGAUUGGAUGACAUAGCAGAGAGGAGUUUUCAUACCCAGCUGUGAAAAGAAUGGAUAAAUUAAAAUCUUCUAGGCAUCCAGCCUGAAAGACAGGAGGGGUUUUUUCUCUUUCCCUUUGUGAUGUGAAGGGAAAAAAUAAACCCACAGCCUGCCCUGGUGCAACAAUCUGCUCCAGCAGAGAAUGCCAGUUGGUGUUUAAUACUUCCUCAAGGAGUUAAUAACAGAAUUGUUGCCACUUAAUUCAGAAGUGAGGAAUGGAGAGGAUGGCCUAGAUGUUUUUACAAAAGAAGUUUGGAUUCUGAAGUGUGCCAGAAUGCACUGUCUGGCUUUAGCUGUGAUGGGGAUGAGAAGUGACAAGGUGCCACAGGGGAGCUGUUCUCUUGGGAUUUGCAUUGUGCCUAAAGCCUGACCGGAAACCUCCCGAGAGGAG
rnacentral:lncRNA from 1 species